ACCCCUUCGGGGGGCGCGGUAUAGGUGCUGCAUGGCUGUCGUCAGCUCGUGUCGUGAGAUGUUAGGUUAAGUCCCGCAACGAGCGCAACCCCUGUCUUUAGUUGCCAUCAGUUCGGCUGGGCACUCUAAAGAGACUGCCGAGGUUAACUCGGAGGAAGGUGGGGAUGACGUCAAGUCCUCAUGGCCCUUAUGUCCGGGGCUACACACGUGCUACAAUGGUCGGUACAGAGCGCAGCGAACCCGCGAGGGGGAGCAAAUCGAGAAAAGCCGACCUCAGUACGGAUUGCAGUCUGCAACUCGACUGCAUGAAGGCGGAAUCGCUAGUAAUCGCUGAUCAGCAGGCAGCGGUGAAUACGUUCCCGGGCCUUGUACACACCGCCCGUCACACCAUGGGAGUCGAGUGCUCCAGAAGUGGCUGCGCCAACCCGCAAGGGAGGCAGGUCCCCAAGGAGUGCUUGGUAACUGGGGUGAAGUCGUAACAAGGUAGCCGUAGGGGAACC
rnacentral:rRNA from 1 species